rnacentral:rRNA from 1 species
AGUGAACGCUGGCGGUAGGCCUAACACAUGCAAGUCGAACGGUAGCACAGUAAGAGCUUGCUCUUACGGGUGGCGAGUGGCGGACGGGUGAGGAAUACAUCGGAAUCUACUUUUUCGUGGGGGAUAACGUAGGGAAACUUACGCUAAUACCGCAUACGACCUACGGGUGAAAGCAGGGGAUCUUCGGACCUUGCGCGAUUGAAUGAGCCGAUGUCGGAUUAGCUAGUUGGCGGGGUAAAGGCCCACCAAGGCGACGAUCCGUAGCUGGUCUGAGAGGAUGAUCAGCCACACUGGAACUGAGACACGGUCCAGACUCCUACGGGAGGCAGCAGUGGGGAAUAUUGGACAAUGGGCGCAAGCCUGAUCCAGCCAUACCGCGUGGGUGAAGAAGGCUUCGGGUUGUAAAGCCCUUUUGUUGGGAAAGAAAAGCAGCAGGUUAAUACCCCGCUGUUCUGACGGUACCCAAAGAAUAAGCACCGGCUAACUUCGUG